CGGAUUGUAGUCUGCCAACCCGACUACAUGAAGCUGGAAUCGCUAGUAAUCGCGAAUCAGAAUGUCGCGGUGAAUACGUUCCCGGGUCUUGUACACACCGCCCGUCACACCAUGGGGAGUCGGAAAUGCCCAAAGUCAGUGACCUAACCGAAAGGGAGGAGCUGCCGAAGGUGGAGCCGGUAACUGGGGUGAAGUCGUAACAAGGUACC
rnacentral:rRNA from 1 species